GUCGAGAAUAAUUCACAAUGGACGAAAGUCUGAUGGUGCAACGCCGCGUGGAGGAUGAAGGUCUUCGGAUUGUAAACUCCUGUCAUCGGGGAGUAAGACCUGGCGGUAAAUAGCCGACAGGGUUGAUAGUACCCGAAGAGGAAGGGACGGCUAACUUCGUGCCAGCAGCCGCGGUAAUACGAAGGUCCCAAGCGUUGUUCGGAAUCACUGGGCGUAAAGGGAGCGUAGGCGGCGUGGUAAGUCGGAUGUGAAAUCCCGGGGCUCAACCACGGAACUGCAUCCGAUACUGCCAUGCUUGAGGGUUGGAGAGGUAGCUGGAAUUCUCGGUGUAGCAGUGAAAUGCGUGGAUAUCGAGAGGAACACUCGUGGCGAAGGCGAGCUACUGGACAACAUCUGACGCUGAGGCUCGAAGGCCAGGGGAGCAAAAGGGAUUAGAAACCCUAGUAGUCC
rnacentral:rRNA from 1 species